AGCAAUCCGUGUCGUGCGCGUAUGUGUUCGAUUCGUGGGUGCAUACGCGCGUGUGUGUGUGUGUAUUGCAAAAAGUGUUUUUCUUGUUUCGCAAUCGCAGCCAAUUCGCCGAGAUCAAAAAUCCGCUAGGAUGCACCAAACAACCGUAACCGGCAGUGCAGUUGCAAUGCAAUGCAGUGUUAUUACGCUCGUGCUUUAAGGACGGCACUGCAGAAUAUGGCGAUAAAAGAGACGACAGAACUGCAAAGGAAAUAUAGCUGAGAUUAAACUCUGCAAGAAUCGUAAACACGUGUUAUAACCCGGUGCUAUACACAACGAUCUACAUCUUGCGUUGCGUGCGUUUAACAUACGCGCUCUCUCUAUCGCUUGCGUAUCAUCGGGUAUCGUCGUCAUUAUCAUCAUCAUCAUCAUCAUCAUCGUCCCCGGUACCGUCGUCACCUGUUGCGGUGUGUGGUGAACUCCCCCUUCCAACUCCCACCCAUAUCCGGUGGGCUGCAACGCGGUACGGUUCGGAAAAUCGGUCGCGGGUGGUGCCGGUGUAAAGGAACCUUCCACCUCCAUCCUACCUCCCCCCCCCCGCCUCCCUCUCCCGCGC